UCUCCUCUCUCUAAUCAAUGAAACUGAUCUCUCCGUGAAGAAGCGGAGAUUUAACUAUAAGACGAGAAGACCCCAUGGAGCUUUAAACCUGACUACACCCCUAUCUAUUAUACCCUUAAAUCAACAGGGCCUUUGUCUGUCGGUUUUAGGUUGGGGUGACCGCGGAGCAUAAAUUAACCUCCAAGAUGAACUGGACUAACCCAUUAUCUAAGAUUUACACCUCAAAGAAUCAGCACACUGACAUAAAAUGAUCCGACAUUCGAUCAACGAACCAAGUUACCCUGGGGAUAACAGCGCAAUCUACUUCAAGAGCCCCUAUCGACAAGCAGG
rnacentral:rRNA from 1 species